rnacentral:rRNA from 1 species
GAUGAACGCUGGCGGCAUGCCUAACACAUGCAAGUCUAACUGCGUAAGUAGUGACGGACGGGUGAGUAACAUGUAAGUUAUCUGCCUUUGGGUGAGGGAUAACAAAUGGAAACGUUUGCUAAUACCUCGUAAUCUCUUUCGAGUGAAAAGUUUCUGCCCAGAGAUGAGCUUGCACCCGAUUAGUUUGUUGGUGGGGUAAUGGCCUACCAAGACGAUGAUCGGUAGCUGGUAUGCGAAUGCGAACAGCCACACUGGGACUGAGACACGGAACAGACUCCUACGGGAGGCAGCAGUGGGGAAUAUUUGGCAAUGGGUGAAAGCCUGACCAAGCAAUGCCACGUGGAGGAAGAAGGCCUUUGGGUUGUAAUCUCCUUUUCUCAAUGAAGAAGUUCUGACGGUAUUUGAGGAAUAAGCAUCGGCUAAUUCUGUGCCAGCAGCCGCGGUAAUAC